UGGAUCAUUAGUAUUAGCAUUGAGCUUGACUUUCUAGCUAUUUCCACCAGUUACUUAAGAAAUGAUGAAGCCUUUCGGAGGAGAGCUGAAACAUCUUCAAGAUCUUCAACCAAGUCCAGCUGCCUUUGGAUCAAGCUUCAAAUUUCCCAUGACCUGGAUGACUGAGAACCUGCACAGACAAACCAAAGAGAACAAAGAAUGGCCCUUUAUCACGAGGGCCACAUCCACCAGGUAAAUCAAAUGAGUCCGUAUUUAUGGUGAGUUUUCAUGCUACAUAGUGUUUCACAUUUCUUUUUUAUAGCUUCACAUGUUCACUUUAUUUAUUAUGCUUUUCACUCUCAAACCAACCGUACAGUUUGAGGAAAGCAGUGACUUUGCUAACGUUGUUCUCUGAAUAAAGACAUUGUGUUUACAAAACCGUGCCCACAGAUUGCUAAAUCAGCGAGCAUGGACGCUCUGUGUGUAAGGAGGAGAGCACGGAUGAUGGGAUGACUACAGAGGGGGCGACAUUAAUGAUCAAUUAAACUUAAGAAUUUACAAUAAACAGUGGUUGUAUGUAUAAUAAAUUAUGAGAUGAUAGGAUGAAUAAAUAAACAUGACUAUAUUGCAUGGAAGUUGUAAUAUGUCACAAUGAAAGUUUGAAUACAUGGAAUAAAAAAAAUGACUAUAUGGAAAAGAAAUGAACCAAACGUGAAUAUAUAGAAAGUCAGAAUAUAAACAUUUUGACUGCAAAUCCAAAUAUUCAAUUCAACAUUCAAUAUAACUAUAUUACUAUGAGGCUAUCAAGUCAAAGCUUUCUGAACUUGUAAUACUGUAAUCACGCAUAAUAUAACAGGGGACAUGUCUGGUUAUAGGUCAUUAGUGAUACAUUAUACUGCUUGAAAUGUUGCCAGUAAAUAUUGAGUGUCACAUAUUGAUUAAUAGGAAAAACUAAACUCAGCAUUGUUUUAGGGAAUGUUUUUGCUUUAACAAACUGAGUCUGAGUUAAAA